rnacentral:rRNA from 1 species
AACGAACGCUGGCGGCAGGCCUAACACAUGCAAGUCGAGCGAGGACUUCGGUUCUAGCGGCGGACGGGUGGGUAACGCGUGGGAAUGUGCCCUUCUCUACGGAAUAGCCCUGGGAAACUGGGAGUAAUACCGUAUACGACCUAUUGGGGAAAGCUUUAUCGGAGAAGGAUCAGCCCGCGUCUGAUUAGGUAGUUGGUGGGGUAAUGGCCUACCAAGCCGACGAUCCCUAGCUGGUUUGAGAGGAUGAUCAGCCACACUGGGACUGAGACACGGCCCAGACUCCUACGGGAGGCAGCAGUGGGGAAUCUUAGACAAUGGGGGCAACCCUGAUCUAGCCAUGCCGCGUGAGUGAUGAAGUCCUUAGGGUUGUAAAGCUCUUUCAGCUGGGAAGAUAAUGACGGUACCAGCAGAAGAAGCCCCGGCUAACUCCGUG